AUUUAUAGCCAUACCACCCUGAAUGCUUCCAUCUCAUCUGACCUCAAAAGCUAAGCAGAGUAGGACCUGGGUAGUAUUUGGAUGGGAGAUGGUGGUUGUUGAAAACA
rnacentral:rRNA from 1 species